CCGCUUCAUGUUUCCAAUUGGCUGCCGAAGACACGCGAGGUAGACCUUUAAUUCCAACGGAGUGAACUAUCAGCAGCUACAAAAGAGAACCAUUUGUGCAUCUUUAAGUAUCGAUGCUUCAAAAAAAGGAUGGAUAACUGGGAUGCCUGAAUGAUGAUCACAGAAAUCCUAAAUGAAGGCAGUAGUUCUUAAAGAAGCCCACACCUGUGUCCGUUUACUACAGGGAUAACUUUCCAGAUGAAGAAAUUACCCACUUCUAUGGUGAUUCUUCUUGGCCAUGGCAUUCAAGGGAAUUAUGUGAAGAGUCAUCAAUGGCAAUGAUCGAAUGUGGUUCGUAACACUUUCACAUCAGGUAAGGAGAAAGAAUUGCAUGAAUAGUCAUUGGUGACUGAGAUCGAAUGCAGUGCGAAACCUUAUCAGGGAAAGAGACAGAAUUGCAUGAAGAAUCAUUGGUGACUGAGAUUGAAUGCAGUGCGAAAACGUCCAUGUCAGGGAAAGAGACAGAAUUAUGUGAAGAGUCAUCAAUGGCAAUGAUUGAAUGUGGUUCGAAACACUUCCACAUCAGAUAAGGAGAAAUGUCACCAUGAAGUACACAGUGCUGUUUUUUCCAGUUUGGAUUUGUGCGAUGAUUGAUGGUAAUGGUCCCAUGUCAAGUAGAAAGUGGCCGACUUCAACUUGCAAAUACACCAACUCAAGGACAGUUAUUAUAAAAACAUGGAGCAGACUGAAGUGAAUGCAGUCAUAAAACAUUUUAAAGGGACACCUCACCACAAAAGCACAGUGUGAUCAAUGCAAGAUAGCAGAAGACCAUGUUCUUAAAGAAAGAAGAAAAAUUAAGUGACUUUGUGAGGAACAGAGGUUUGCAGAUAAAUAAAAGAAAUGUUGGACUGCAUUUCAACAAAGAAAAGCAAAAACUGCUUUUAAACGGUUAGUUCAUCCAAAAAAUUUAAUUAGCCCAUGGUUUAUUCACCCUUAUGCAAUCCUAGCUGUAUAUGACAUUCUUCGUUCAGACGAACACAUUAAGAGUUAUUUAAAAUUUUCUCUAAGCACUUAAAUACUAUUAUGGAUGUGAAGUGUGGGCCUUGUUGGAACCGUUCCAAUACAUGUCAUGUCUUUUGAAGCGGAUCGAUAGGUUUGUAACAAAUAUUUAUUUUUUAUGAAUUAUGAACUCCAGUUGCUACUUGCGUGUUGGCGACAGAGUCAGAUGAACCUAAACGAAUCAAAGAACAAAUUAAAGAUGUCCCAAACUCAGCCAACUUGACUUUUCGCAAACAAGCAUACAGACAUUAGCUGUGUUUCCAUCCAAAA